UAUGGAAUAUUAGAAAUGGACGAAAGUCUGAUCUAGCAACACCGCGUGUGCGAAGAAGGCCUUCGGGUUGUAAAGCACUUUUUGGAAGGAUUAGGAAGGAAUGUACUUCCAGAAUAAGUCUCGGCUAACUACGUGCCAGCAGCCGCGGUAACACGUAGGAGGCAAACGUUAUCCGGAUUUACUGGGCGUAAAGCGCGUGUAGGUGGUUCUGUAAGUAGGGCGUGAAAGCUCCUGGCUCAACUGGGAGGGGCCUUUCUAAACUGCAGAGCUAGAGGAUGGUAGAGGGAGGUGGAAUUCCGGGUGUAGCGGUGGAAUGCGCAGAUAUCCGGAGGAACACCAGUGGCGAAAGCGGCCUCCUGGACCAUUCCUGACACUCAGACGCGAAAGCUAGGGUAGCAAACG
rnacentral:rRNA from 1 species